rnacentral:rRNA from 1 species
CAAUAGCGUAUAUUUAAGUUGCUGCAGUUAAAAAGCUCGGAGUUGGAUUUCGGGUGGGAAUGGCCGGUCCGCCGUUUCGGUGUGCACUUGCUACGCCCACCUUGCUGCCGGGGACGUGCUCUUGAGUUCACGCUCGGGACACGGAGUCGGCGAGGUUACUUUGAGUAAAUUAGAGUGUUCAAAGCAGGCCUACGCUCUGAAUACAUUAGCAUGGAAUAACACGAUAGGACUCUGGCCUAUCUUGUUGGUCUGUAGGACCGGAGUAAUGAUUAAGAGGGACAGUCGGGGGCAUUCGUAUUUCAUUGUCAGAGGUGAAAUUCUUGGAUUUAUGAAAGACGAACUACUGCGAAAGCAUUUGCCAAGGAUGUUUUCAUUAA